CGCGUAGGUGGUUUGGUAAGCGAUAUGUGAAAGCCCCGGGCUUAACCUGGGAACUGCAUGUCGAACUGUCAGGCUAGAGUAUGGUAGAGGGGUGUGGAAUUUCCUGUGUAGCGGUGAAAUGCGUAGAUAUAGGAAGGAACAUCAGUGGCGAAGGCGACACCCUGGACCGAUACUGACACUGAGGCGCGAAAGCGUGGGUAGCGAACA
rnacentral:rRNA from 1 species